GAUACCGUGUCUCAAAAACAAAAAAUAAAACGUAGAAUAAGUUAGGAAAUUAUUUGUUAAAUAUCUGGAAAAGCUCUUUUACCAGAUAUCCAAAUGGCUUCUUUGCCUACUUCAGAUCUUUGCUCAAAUGUUGCCUUCUUAAGGAGGCCUUCCCUGCACAUCCUACUGAAAAUAUGCAGAUUCCUCCAGCAUCUCCGAGGAAUCCAAAAGCCUGGCAUACUGGCAAAAGCAUACACAGACCAUCUACAACAUGUUUGGACUUUCUGACUUGUCUAUAUUUUCACCAGGUAAAGAAAGCUUUUUAUGGUUCGCUGGGGACAAUCAACCCCUUCACAAUCUAGAACCUGAAGAUUGGAUAUUCUCAGAACAUCAGAGAAAGACUGUCCUUGCCAUUCACACUGCAACAAAACUUUGGAAACUUGAACCUUGGGUUCAUAAACUCACAACUGAGAAAGGUCCCUCCACACCCUUGGAACUGUACACCCAUUAGAACCCUCAAGGUAAAACUAAACAGGAAAGUUUCUCCAGAAAAGAAGAUGACAUCCUUGAUGUAAACAGGUUUUCCCAAGAUCACAGAUCAAGACUUCUACUAUCAUGAGAUUCUUUUUUUAUUUUUAUGUUUUGAGACAGAGUUUCACUC
rnacentral:lncRNA from 1 species